CUGUAUCUCUUCAAGUUAAAAAGAGAAAGAGAGAGAGAAUGGGAAAAAAGGAGGGCAAAGGAAAACAGAAAGAUGACUGUUUUAGUUCUUAUUACUUUUAUUGCAACUGGUUAGAAGAAAAUGUAUUUUGAUAAGAGCAAAUGUAUCCUAGCAAGGUGACCACUGUCUGGGUUCCAGAAACCUUUGCAGGUCUCAUUAUGAUCCUGAAGCACAACCUGUGAUGCUUAAUUUCCUCUUCCUUGGGGUUCAUUUCAUAUGUGUUUGGAACUAGCCUGAUUAGAGCAAGAAUUUCAACUUGCAGGAGGAGGAAGGGGAAAUUGAAGCUGGACAAUGUUUCCUUUCUCUGUCAACAGAUAUUUACAAUCAAGAACGAAAAGUGAAAACCCGAGAAGGCAUUUGUCAGUUAACCAAGAGGAAGCAGAUCCCUCCUCCAGAUGAAAACUGCUGACCAAUAGAACAUAGACCCUAGAUUGGUAGAAACCAGAAGGUUGAUGAUGCUUGAAAUUUCACCUUGAUGCCAACCAAUCCAAGAACUGUCCAGGAGCUGAUCAUGCCCUGCCCCUUAAACACUAUAAAACUCCUCACAACCCUGUCCAGAGUGGAUCAUGUGGUCUUCAGGGCAUUAACCCACUGUGGCCCCCUUUGCUGGGCAAAACAAUUAAAGAUACUCUUUCCUACUU
ensembl:lncRNA